rnacentral:rRNA from 1 species
GAGGGGACCUGGGGAAAUGAAACAUCUAAUUACCCGGAGGAACAGUAAUCAAACGAGAUUUUCUUAGUAGCGGCGAGCGAAAUGGAAAGAGGCCAAACCGGAGCGGGCAACCGCACCGGGGUUGAGGACAGUCAUCAAGUGUAAAUGAGGUAGAAGAAUCGAGUUGGAAAGCUCAGCCGAAGAAGGUGAAAGCCCUGUAAUCGAAACCUUGCAUACAUGGGACUGUAUCCAGAGUACCACGAGACACGUGAAACCUUGUGGGAAGCAGGGGGGACCACCCUCCAAGCCAAAAUACUGAUAUCGACCGAUAGCGCAUAGUACCGUGAGGGAAAGGUGAAAAGAACCCCUGGCGGGGAGUGAAAGAGAACCUGAAACCGUAUGUCUACAAACAGUCGAAGUCUGUAUAUAUAUCAGGACGACGGCGUGCCUAUUGAAGAAUGAACCGACGAGUUACUGUUGCUAGCGAGGUUAAGUGGAAAACAUGGAGCCGCAGCGAAAGCGAGUCUGAACAGGGCGUUCAGUUAGUAAUAGUAGACCCGAAACCGUAGUGAUCUAUCCAUGGCCAGGUUGAAGCACAGGUAAAAUUGUGUGGAGGACCGAACUCGUGAGCGUUGAAAAGCUUUGGGAUGAGUUGUGGCUAGGGGUGAAAUUCCAAUCGAACCCGGAGAUAGCUGGUUCUCCCCGAAAUAGCUUUAGGGCUAGCGUCGAGAGAAGAGUUGCGUGAAGGUAGAGCACUGAAUAUGUGAUGGCCCCAUCUCGGGGUACUGAGCAUAAUCAAACUGCGAAUGUCACGCCAACAUGCUCGGCAGUCAGACAGCGGGUGAUAAGGUCCGUUGUCAAGAGGGAAACAGCCCAGACCAUCAGCUAAGGUCCCAAAAUGUAUGCUAAGUGGAAAAGGAUGUGGAGAUGUACAGACAACUAGGAGGUUGGCUCAGAAGCAGCCAUCCUUUAAAGAGUGCGUAACAGCUCACUAGUCGAAUGACUCUGCGCCGAUAAUUUACCGGGGCUAAGCAUACUACCGAAGCUAUGGAUCCCAAGGGAUGGUAGGGGAGCGUUCCAUGAACGGAGAAGUACGACCGAAAGGACGUGUGGAGAUCAUGGAAGAGAGAAUGCCGGUGUGAGUAGCGGAACGUGGGUGAGAAUCCCACGCACCGAAAACCCAAGGUUUCCAGAGGAAGGUUCGUCCGCUCUGGGUAAGUCGGGACCUAAGGCGAGGCCGAAAGGCGUAGUCGAUGGACAACAGGUAGAGAUUCCUGUACCCGUAUAUAUGUGAAGGAAUGACGGAGAGAGGAAGCUGCAGCCAGCGGCUGGAAGAGCUGGUGCAAGCGAGAUAUCGGGAUGGCAGGCAAAUCCACCAUCCGAAACGAGAAGGCGUGAAGCGUACGGAAAGCUACGGCGAGUACGGAAGGCAGUGGAGGAACUUCCAAGAAAAGUUUCUAACGUUAAGUAUAUAUGGCCCGUACCGAAAAUGGACACACAUGGGUGAGGAGAGAAUCCUAAGGUGAGCGAGAGAACUAUAGCUAAGGAACUCUGCAAAAUGACUCCGUAACUUAGGGAGAAGGAGUGCUCAUAGAGAUAUGAGCCGCAGUGAAACGGCCCAAGCGACUGUUUACCAAAAACACAGCUCUCUGCUAAGCCGCAAGGCGAAGUAUAGGGGGUGACGCCUGCCCGGUGCUGGAAGGUUAAGGGGAGGGGUUAACGCAAGUGAAGCCCUGAACUGAAGCCCCAGUAAACGGCGGCCGUAACUAUAACGGUCCUAAGGUAGCGAAAUUCCUUGUCAGGUAAGUUCUGACCCGC